UGGGGGAUAUUGCACAAUGGAGGAAACUCUGAUGCAGCGACGCCGCGUGAGGGAAGACGGUCUUCGGAUUGUAAACCUCUGUCUUUGGGGAAGAAAAUGACGGUACCCAAAGAGGAAGCUCCGGCUAACUACGUGCCAGCAGCCGCGGUAAUACGUAGGGAGCGAGCGUUGUCCGGAAUUACUGGGUGUAAAGGGAGCGUAGGCGGGCGAGAAAGUUGAAUGUUAAAUCUACCGGCUUAACUGGUAGCUGCGUUCAAAACUUCUUGUCUUGAGUGAAGUAGAGGCAGGCGGAAUUCCUAGUGU
rnacentral:rRNA from 1 species